rnacentral:rRNA from 1 species
UAGGGAAUCUUCGGCAAUGGACGACAGUCUGACCGAGCAACGCCGCGUGAGUGAAGAAGGUUUUCGGAACGUAAAACUCUGUUGUUAGAGAAGAACAAGGACGUUAGUAACUGAACGUCCCCUGACGGUAUCUAACCAGAAAGCCACGGCUAACUACGUGCCAGCAGCCGCGGUAAUACGUAGGUGGCAAGCGUUGUCCGGAUUUUUUGGGCGUAAGGCGAGCGCAGGCGGGUUGUUAAGUCUGAUGUGAAAGCCCCCGGCUCAACCGGGGAGAGUAAUUGGAAAGUGGGUGACUUGAGUGCAGAAGGGGGGAGUGGAAGUCCAUGUGUAGCGGUGAGAUGCGUAGAUAUAUGGAGGAACGCCAGUGGCGAAGGCGGCUCUCUGGUCUGAACCUGACGCUGGGGCUCGAAAGCGUGGGGAGCAAACAGG